ensembl:lncRNA
CAAAAAGCCACACUCAUUAACAAAUUAUCUGAUGUUGCCUUCACAUAUUAUUGGAAUUAGACGUGAAUGCCUCUCAAGUCGUAUUUAGAACUUCCGAUAGCACCUGAAGGCAGCAUUAGAAACUAGAUUUAAGAACAAAAAUUAUUCUCCCAUACAUUUCAGUUUUUAGUGUAAAUAUAUACUGACCGUUUAUUUUGUAGUGUGCUUUUUUGCAUGUUGUGUGUGUGUAAAAAUAAAACUGAAAAUUGUAAGCCUAUAGACCAUUUUUCCCUUCUUUUUUCAGUGCUUUUGUCAGUUAUUUUCAUUGGCUAAAUAACUUAUAAUUUGGUUAACUUAUGUCAUUGUGUAAUGAUAGCAAGAAUUAAAUUAAACUACUUCAAAUCACCCAGAGAGUAUAACCUUGUAACUACUUUUAAUAUUUAAUAGUAAACCCAAAUAAGAAACACUUUUUUUUCUGCUCUGGACAUUUUAAUUUCUGUGCUGUUGAUGCCCUGGUUAAAAAUGUUUCAAAACAAAUUGCAAUUAAGGCAAAUAUUAAGAAUCCAAAAGACUUUAGGUGACAAUUCUCAUAGUGCACAACUUAGAGCACAAGGAGCACAGCUUUUAAGCAAAAGUGAGUGGGUUUGUGACUCCAGGUACACAGGGGACCAACUGAGAAGAUUGUUCUGCAUCCACGUGUUAAGAUCAAGGCCAAUCUUGUCUGUUUGGCCCUGUGUGGCCCCCUGUGCAUCUUGACCCCACCCAUCUACAUGAGUAUAGAGCACCUUUCACACUGCACAUCCCGGAAAAUUGCGGAGUGCCUUCUGUGUGAAUCCAAACACGUCCCGGGAUUGAUUCCGGCAUCGAUUCAAGGUCGGGGACCUAGUAACAUUGCUGGGUUCAGUCCCAGAAUGAACUCUGUGUGAACAAAAGCCGGAACCAAUGCCGUAACGCAUGUGUCGUAAUGAUUAUGUAGUUAUCGUGUGACUCUUUGGGUUUUUUUCAACAGUACAACCCUGCAGUGCCAGAGGGGCUAGUCAUUGUUUUAAAGCAGAGAGUGGUGUUCACCUAAAAAAAAAUAAUAACUAAAAAUAAAGAGAAAUGUGUGCAAACUGGACUGAAGCAGAGACCACGGAGCUCCUCAGUAUCCGCACUGAAGCUGAGAUCGUUCGCCAGCUCAGUGCAACGGUACGUGAUGUGGUUGUGUAUGAGCAAAUUAAAAACAAAAUGCAACAGCGUGGUUUCUCGAGAGAGAAAUUGCAGGUAAUUAGUAAGCUUUGCAAAAAAGUCUUUGCAAAAAAAUAUCCUCCAAGUGCUGGAUCACACUGGAAAGAGCGGCAGCAGAAGAUUAGAUUGGUCUUUCUACAAUUUAUGUUACAAUAUAGCCUAGCGUUUUCAACUUGUGCAUUACGUUACAUCCUGAUGUCACGUGUCAUUACAGGACCAUUACGGGUUGUGUGUGAACUCACGCACGGAUUCCAGGAAAUCACUGGCAGUGUGAAUGAACCAAUAUCUAACGAUCUGGGAACAACUGCCAGGACACGUUACCCAUGUAUUCUCCUGAAUCUCAGUGUGAAAGGGGCUUAAGUGUUUUGGCCCCACAAUUUGAGACAUCAGCCAGUUUGAUUUCAGAGUCAAUUUUCUUCAGAGGGCAGUGUUAUUGUGCAUUUAAUGCCCAGAAAACAGAGACUGCCUCCUGUUAUUUCGAAAAGAGAGCAGGGACGACGCAAGAUAUUCUGCCAGAGGCGUUCAGUGGACCUGGACAACACAGCUUUCCGAGUCCAGAGGGCAGAGUCCGAAAAAGAGCAAACAACCCAGAAAUUUCACAAACCUCACUGGCCUCCAAUGAUUUCUUUGGAGGAAAUCAAAAGGAGGAGACGGUUCCAGAAAAGACUGGAGAGAAAGUCUUCUCUCCAAGCAUCCCUAUCCACUAGACGGAAAGGCCUGCAGAGAGAGUCUUCUCCACAAACCACCCCAUCCACCAGUCAGCAGUGGCCUCCAGUGCUCAAAUGUCAGAGUAUCAGCUGUAGCUGAUGCAGCCCUAAACAGGUACCAAGGGCCACAGCCUGGAGAAAAAAGAAGAGUUCUGAAGAGGACAAAAAGGCCCUAAUGCACAACAAAGAAAUUGCACGGCGAGCAGAUCCAAAGGGAUAUCCAUGCAGAUUGUGCGGACAGCCAAAGAGACUGGAGUUUGGUCACAGUCUCUUCAGAGGAAAAAGUUUCUGUGCCACCGCAGCUGGAAAGACAGUUUCUCAAUGGCUUUCUGAGCAGAAGAGGUUUGCAGCCGCAGACAAUGUUGACAACGUGCCUCGGACAACUGCUUGAAGGAAAAAGAAGAUAGAGGAAGCCACUGCACAGGGCCUGCCUCAGAAAAGGCCAAAGAAAUGCAAACCACUGACUUGCUCUCUGUGUCAGCAGCCAAAAAAUGAAGGAUUAUGUACACUCACGGUACUGUGACAAAUCCUUUUGCAGCAGUUAUGAGGGCAAGACUGUGGAACUUUGGCUGGCAGAGCAGCGGUCUCUUGCUCCCCCUAAAUAAUUGCCACUGUAUUUUUGUUUUCUUUAUCUCAAUCUUUUAUUAUCUUUGUUAAUUUUAUUAGAGUGUCUGUUUGCAAGUAGUUCAG